UACGGAGGAUGCGAGCGUUAACCGGAUUUAUUGGGUUUAAAGGGUGCGCAGGCGGCACGGCAAGCCGGCGGUCAAAUCGCGGGGCUCAACCCCGCCCAGCCGUCGGAACUGCCGGGCUAGAGUGGGCGAGAAGUGCGCGGAAUGCGUGGUGUAGCGGUGAAAUGCAUAGAUAUCACGCAGAACUCCGAUUGCGAAGGCAGCGCACCGGCGCCCUACUGACGCUCAGGCACGAAAGCGUGGGUAUCGAACAGG
rnacentral:rRNA from 1 species